rnacentral:tRNA from 1 species
AGCCUUAAAAGCUAAUCGGCCAGCUAUUAA